AUUGAACGCUGGCGGCAUGCCUAACACAUGCAAGUCGAACGGAAACGAUGGGAGCUUGCUCCCAGGCGUCGAGUGGCGGACGGGUGAGUAAUACUUAGGAAUCUGCCCAGUAGUGGGGGACAACUCGGGGAAACUCGAGCUAAUACCGCAUACGCACUACGGUGGAAAGUGGGGGAUCUUCGGACCUCACGCUAUUGGAUGAGCCUAAGUCGGAUUAGCUUGUUGGUAGGGUAAAGGCCUACCAAGGCGACGAUCCGUAGCUGGUCUGAGAGGACGAUCAGCCACACUGGGACUGAGACACGGCCCAGACUCCUACGGGAGGCAGCAGUGGGGAAUAUUGGACAAUGGGCGCAAGCCUGAUCCAGCAAUGCCGCGUGUGUGAAGAAGGCCUGCGGGUUGUAAAGCACUUUCAGUAGAGAAGAAAAGCCUAGGGUUAAUACCCCUGAGUCUUGACGUAACCUACAGAAGAAGCACCGGCUAACUCCGUG
rnacentral:rRNA from 1 species